rnacentral:sRNA from 1 species
AAACAUGAGGCAGCUGCCAGCCGGCCUGGGCAGUCUUGUCUGCCUCGGCUGUGAAGUGGGGAGGCUGGCAACAGUUUUCUUCAGCGCCCAGGAUGCAGCCGGCUAAGCAGGCUCGUUUCAUCGACGAGGAAACUGAGGGCCGGGGAGCGGCAGAGUCAGGACCUUUCUGAACACCGGCACACCUGCCCUGAAUGCAUCUACAGCUGCAGGGCCUUGGGGACCACCGGAGAUGGUUGUGUGUGUCCCAGCCUCUUACAGGACAGGUGUCAGGAGCCCAAAGUGGAGGCAGCUGCCCUGGUCCAAGUCCACAGUGAGAGGACCCACUGCCCUGAGCUGGUGUGGAGACUGCAUGUAUAGCAGCGACAGUGAGCUGGAGCUGUCCACGGUGCGCCACCAGCCAGAGGGGCUGGACCAGCUGCAGGCCCAGACCAAGUUCACCAAGAAGGAGCUGCAGUCUCUCUACAGGGGCUUUAAGAAUGAGUGUCCCACGGGCCUGGUGGACGAAGACACCUUCAAACUCAUUUACGCGCAGUUCUUCCCUCAGGGAGAUGCCACCACCUAUGCACACUUCCUCUUCAACGCCUUUGAUGCGGACGGGAACGGGGCCAUCCACUUUGAGGACUUUGUGGUUGGCCUCUCCAUCCUGCUGCGGGGCACAGUCCACGAGAAGCUCAAGUGGGCCUUUAAUCUCUAUGACAUUAACAAGGAUGGCUACAUCACCAAAGAGGAGAUGCUGGCCAUCAUGAAGUCCAUCUAUGACAUGAUGGGCCGCCACACCUACCCCAUCCUGCGGGAGGACGCGCCGGCAGAGCACGUGGAGAGGUUCUUCGAGAAAAUGGACCGGAACCAGGAUGGGGUAGUGACCAUUGAAGAGUUCCUGGAGACCUGUCAGAAGGAUGAGAACAUCAUGAGCUCCAUGCAGCUGUUUGAGAAUGUCAUCUAGGACACGUCCAAAGGAGUGCAUGGCCACAGCCACCUCCACCCCCAAGAAACCUCCAUCCUGACAGGAGCAGCCUCCAAGAAACUUUUAAAAAAUAGAUUUGCAAAAAGUGAACAGAUUGCCACACACACACACACACACACACACACACACAGCCAUUCAUCUGGGCUGGCAGAGGGGACAGAGGUCAGGGAGGGGCUGAGUCUGGCUAGGGGCCGAGUCCAGGAGCCCCAGCCAGCCCUUCCCAGGCCAGCGAGGCGAGGCUGCCUCUCGGUGAGUGGCUGACAGAGCAGGUCUGCAGGCCACCAGCCGCUGGAUGUCACCAAGAAGGGGCUCGAGUGCCCCUGCAGGGGAGGGUCCAAUCUCCGGUGUGAGCCCACUUCAUCCCGUUCUCCAUUCUGCUUUCUUGCCAUACAGUGGGCCAGCCCCAGGCUCCCCUGGUCUCCUCCCCGUAGCCACUCUCUGCCCACUACCUAUGCUUCUAGAAAGCCCCUCACCUCAGGACCCCAGAGGGACCAGCUGGGGGGCAGGGGGGAGAGGGGGUAAUGGAGGCCAAGCCUGCAGCUUUCUGGAAAUUCUUCCCUGGGGGUCCCAGGAUCCCCUGCUACUCCACUGACCUGGAAGAGCUGGGUACCAGGCCACCCACUGUGGGGCAAGCCUGAGUGGUGAGGGGCCACUGGGCCCCAUUCUCCCUCCAUGGCAGGAAGGCGGGGGAUUUCAAGUUUAGGGAUUGGGUCGUGGUGGAGAAUCUGAGGGCACUCUCUGCCAGCUCCACAGGGUGGGAUGAGCCUCUCCUUGCCCCAGUCCUGGUUCAGUGGGAAUGCAGUGGGUGGGGCUGUACACACCCUCCAGCACAGACUGUUCCCUCCAAGGUCCUCUUAGGUCCCGGGAGGAACGUGGUUCAGAGACUGGCAGCCAGGGAGCCCGGGGCAGAGCUCAGAGGAGUCUGGGAAGGGGCGUGUCCCUCCUCUUCCUGCAGUGCCCCUCCCAUGGCCCAGCAGCUUGGCUGAGCCCCCUCUCCUGAAGCAGUGUCGCCGUCCCUCUGCCUUGCACAAAAAGCACAAGCAUUCCUUAGCAGCUCAGGCGCAGCCCUAGUGGGAGCCCAGCACAUUGCUUCUCAGAGGCCAGGCCCUCCUGCUGGCUGAGGCUUGGGCCCAGUAGCCGCAAUAUGGUGGCCCUGGGGAAGAGGCCUUGGGGGUCUGCUGUGUGCCUGGGAUCAGUGGGGCCCCAAAGCCCAGCCCGGCUGACCAACAUUCAAAAGCACAAACCCUGGGGACUCUGCUUGGCUGUCCCCUCCAUCUGGGGAUGGAGAACGCAAGCCCAAAGCUGGAGCCAAUGGUGAGGGCUGAGAGGGCUGUGGCUGGGUGGUCAGCAGAAACCCCCAGGAAGAGAGAGAUGCUGCUCCCGCCUGAUUGGGGCCUCACCCAGAAGGAACCCGGUCCCAGGCCGCAUGGCCCCUCCAGGAACAUUCCCACAUAAUACAUUCCAUCACAGCCAGCCCAGCUCCACUCAGGGCUGGCCCGGGGAGUCCCCGAGUGCCCCAAGAGGCUGGCCCCAGGGUGAGCAGGGCCCUCAGAGGAAAGGCGGUAUGGCGGAGGCCGUGGGGGCCCCUCGGCAUUCACACACAGCCUGGCCUCCCCUGCGGAGCUGCAUGGACGCCUGGCUCCAGGCUCCAGGCUGACUGGGGGCCUCUGCCUCCAGGAGGGCAUCAGCUUUCCCUGGCUCAGGGAUCUCCUCCCUGCCCUCACCCCCUGCCCAGCCCUCCCAGCUGGUGUCACUCUGCCUCCAAGGCCAAGGCCUCAGGAGAGCAUCACCACCACACCCCGGCCGGCCUUGGCCUUGGGGCCAGACUGGCUGCACAGCCCAACCAGGAGGGGUCUGCCUCCCACGCUGGGACACAGACCGGCCGCAUGUCCGCAUGGCAGAAGCGUCUCCCUUGGCCACGGCCUGGGAGGGUGGUUCCUGUUCUCAGCAUCCACUAAUAUUCAGUCCUGUAUAUUUUAAUAAAAUAAACUUGACAAAGGA